rnacentral:rRNA from 1 species
UACGGAGGGUGCAAGCGUUAAUCGGAAUUACUGGGCGUAAAGCGCGCGUAGGCGGCUUGGUCAGUUGGGUGUGAAAGCCCCGGGCUUAACCUGGGAACUGCAUCCAAUACUGCCAGGCUAGAGUACGAGAGAGGGGGGUAGAAUUUCUAGUGUAGCGGUGAAAUGCGUAGAUAUUAGAAGGAAUACCAGUGGCGAAGGCGGCCCCCUGGCUUGAUACUGACGCUGAGGUGCGAAAGCGUGGGGAGCAAACAGG